GCAGCGGGACAUAUGGCCGCGCAACUUGGCUUUGCGCCGGGUUGUGAGGAAAGUCCGGACUCCAUAGGGCAGGAUGCCAGCUAACGGCUGGGCGGGGCGACCCGACGGAAAGUGCCACAGAAAAGAAAACUCCCCCAAGGCACCAAAGCUGUGCUUUCGACGCUUUGGGAGAAAAGCUGAAACGGUGUGGUAAGAGCGCACCAGCGUCGUGGAGACAUGGCGGCUUGGCAAACCCCAUCCGGAGCAAGGGCAAAUAGGAGCGUAGACGUUGGCCCGACGGGCGCUCGGGUUGCCUGCAAGAGUGCGGCGGUGACGCCGCUCCCAGAUAAAUGGCCGUACUAGACAGAAUCCGGCUUACCGGCCCGCUGCAGUA
rnacentral:RNase_P_RNA from 1 species